GCCUCUGUAGCUCAGUUGGUUAGAGCGCUGCACCGGAAUCGCAGGGCUGCAUGUUCGAUUCCUGCCAUGCAGAGGUC
rnacentral:tRNA from 1 species